rnacentral:rRNA from 1 species
GAUGAACGCUGGCGGCGUGCCUAAUACAUGCAAGUCGAGCGAACAGAUAAGGAGCUUGCUCCUUUGACGUUAGCGGCGGACGGGUGAGUAACACGUGGGUAACCUACCUAUAAGACUGGAAUAACUCCGGGAAACCGGGGCUAAUGCCGGAUAACAUUUAGAACCGCAUGGUUCUAAAGUGAAAGAUGGUUUUGCUAUCACUUAUAGAUGGACCCGCGCCGUAUUAGCUAGUUGGUAAGGUAACGGCUUACCAAGGCAACGAUACGUAGCCGACCUGAGAGAGUGAUCGGCCACACUGGAACUGAGACACGGUCCAGACUCCUACGGGAGGCAGCAGUAGGGAAUCUUCCGCAAUGGGCGAAAGCCUGACGGAGCAACGCCGCGUGAGUGAUGAAGGUCUUCGGAUCGUAAAACUCUGUUAUUAGGGAAGAACAAAUGUGUAAGUAACUGUGCACGUCUUGACGGUACCUAAUCAGAAAGCCACGGCUAACUACGUG